rnacentral:lncRNA from 1 species
AGGGCAGGGAGUGGGAAAGUGAAAAGCUACUAAAAUCCAGUCCUGGCCUCUCUUCCCUCCAGCGUAAAAGCCUCCCUGGGGUGCUUGGGCAAUACAACAGGCUCCGACUAGACCAUCCAUUGUCCCACAGCCCUUUUGAUCUUUUCCCCCCUCAGAGGCCAAGGCACCGUGAGCUACCUUGCAAUUAUUUCCCAAGUACUUUAACUGUGUUCCUUGGAUCCUCUCUAAAACACAAGAUCCCUAAAGGCAGCGACACACUUCACACCCCCAAGGAGCACAGGCGAUGUCGGGGUGAUUCCAGGCUGCUCUGUACUUUCUUGCUGAAUGAGUGGACGGGCUAGAGAAGAAACGGCAGAAGAGAAAGACAACCAGGUGCCCUGUCACUGCCUAUCACUGCCUGCCCUGCAGACUUCCAGCCCUUAGGAAGCUCACUCCUGAAACAAGUCCCUACAAGAGGAGGACUCCAGACACUUAUUCUCCUAGCAUCCCACAGAUGCUGCUUGUCAGAGAUGAAGGCAGGACACAGGCAUUUGGUUGCAGCUCUUAAGGUUGUGCUCCCUUGCACCCGUGACUCUCUUUUCCCAAACCUGACACCUACUCACGGCCCAGGUAAAUAGGAAAUAGUUAAUAGGAAAACAGUCUUUUUAAAAGUUAAUGAAGCCAGGCGCAUGCCUGUAAUCCCAGCACUCGGGAGGCUGAGGCAGGAGGACUGCCAUGAGUUUGAGGACAGCCUGGGGUACAUAGUGAGUUCAAGGCCAGCCUGAGCUACAUAGUGAGACCCUGUCUCACAAAAGCAAAAAAAAAACAGCCGGGGUUUUAGCUCAGUGGUUCUGCUGCCUGCCUUGCAAGCACAAGGUCCGGAGUUCGAACCCCGGUACCAAAAAAAAAAAAGAAAAAAAAAGAAAAGUAAAAAUUAUUAACUUGUUAGCUGGGCAUGGUGAUACACACCUGUAAUCUUGGCAUUCAGGAAGACUGAGGCAGAAGAAUCACAAAUUCGAGCCCAGCCUGGGCAACUUAGCGACUUAGUGAGACCAUGUCUCAAAAUAAACAAUAAAAAAGGGCAAAAAAAAAAGGGUGUGGGGGUGGGGAUGAAGCUCAGUGUGAAGGUCUACAGUGAAUCUCCAGUAUCAUCACACACAAAAAAGUUGCUUUUUCAUAGCAUCAUCAGGUAUCUUGUGUGUCUUCCAGGCCUCUAUCAUACAAAGCAAUUCUAAGAGGGGUAAAAUCUAGAAAUGGCAGAGUGCAGGAGAAGAAAUGGAAAGAACUGGGUUUGACUCUGGAUCCUGCCGAGGCAUUAGAAAGAGGUCAACCUGCCUGUGUUAAAUAGCCUGAUUUAGCCAUUCCAUUAGAUAUACGCAUAUUAUGUGGUACAAGCUUAAUAUAUACAAUUUUACCAGUCAAUUAAAAAUAUCAAUAAAUCAAUAAAUGGC